AUGGGUAUGUUCACUGCUUGGUAUUGGCAGCCAUGGGCUACAUUAGCCUGGCUGAGCUUGAGGUGAGGUAAUGCCUCCUCAAUCUCCUUUCUGUGGACAUCAUGCUUCCCUUGUUUUUGUUUAUGUGUCGAAUCUAUCAUAGAGCAGGUUCCCUAGGAGACAGAUUGUGAUGCAGAGGUUUGUACGCAGAAAGUUUAUCAGGGAGGACUUUCAGCAACCUCAGUGGUGGAAUAGUGAAGGAAGCUGCAUAGGAUUAGGCAGAGGGAGGAGGUAAGCUGCAACUCAGUCAUUCUAAAGGACAGCUGAUCCCACAGAGUCUGAGCUGGGUGGCCCUGCAGAGUCGAGUCACCUUGAAGCAGACAGUAAUAUAUUCCACAGUUUUUGUGUGUAUGCCCUCAGGAAGCAUUGCAACCACGGGUGAGGUGGCUCUUGGGUUGAUGGGAGUUCCUAGAACAUGACUCAGCUCAGACCCAACACCCAACAACAUACCCAGCAGCUGGGGGAAUGAGUGUGUUAGUCCUAAAGGAAGGACCGCUGUGAUAUGCCACAUCAUGUGCUACAGGAUCAAGAUCCAGUAUCCUGACUUUGGGCUACAGACAGGAAGCUGAUGGAAGAUAAAGAUGACAGAUGCCAAGAACAAAGCACAGAGGAGAACUUCCCAGAGUGGAGGAUGGCAAGCAUCCAUGGAGACAUUCCUGACAUUCAGUGACAUCUACUUGGUCCCUUUUUCUAAUAAGAAAUUCUCUACAUGGAAUACUCCAGAGCCAACUUUGAUCAAGUUCAAGUCUACAGACUUUCUAGAGGAAAUUUCCUACAGACCAGAUGCUUUGGGCAUGUUCUAAGAUCCCCUUCUAACACCCACACCAGGACUAACGUAGAAGACCUCUGAGGCAGCCUCAUUGCACAUCAUAACUAUGAAUGACUAUGGUCUCAGCUAAGUGCCUGGUGAGAGGACAUGUUUUUCUUUGUGAAGAAAGAGCUGUGACAUUCAGAUCACACCACUGGUGAACCAAACAGGCUUCAAAUCUGGGAGUAUCCUCGUUUUAAAGAAUCCAUUCUUUAGGCUUUAGGUCUUGAUAGUAUUGAAAAGUUUGAAGAGAAGACAAAACUCAGGAAACCAAACCAAGAAUUCUUUGGCAGAGAUGAGAAAACAGUAUUUUGAUCUUGGAGGUGUUUUUGACCUCAUACAAGGAAGAAAAAAAAAAAACAGGACAUCAUUGGACCCUACUGAAAAACAAAAGCAGAAGACUCAUUUUUUUUUCUUUUGGUUGAUCCCCAAUACUAUCUGAGCAUCAGUGACAUAAUAAAAAUAUCUCAAGAUCAACAAA